AAAAAAAAACUUUUAUACCUAUAAACACCAGCGAUCCAGAAAACAUAUUUAGAUGUUUUAGUCUACUCAUACAUGUUCAAACUUUGGAUUCAUUAGCUUUUUUUUUGCCAUUUCUAUCGUUUAUUGUUCACUGCUGUGUUGCUAUUUAUUCUAGUCUGCUUGUCUCCUGGAAAAAAACUAUUAUAUUGUGUAACCCGGUUAAAAAAGCAUGAGCUGAUACGUGAUGAUUGUAGUAGGCCUAACAUUUAAUUAACAGAGUGUAUAAAUAGUGUGAUUUAAAAGGUUGACAUUCAUUUAAAAAGUUGUUAUAAAAAGGUUAAAAGCCGUUUAAAAAUUAUUUUGUUUAUUGUUUCAUGGUAAAAGAUUAUGUUAUUCUGAAAACUGUCCAAACCAGCAUUUAUGUGGUUAAGACCGAUGGGGCGGAGAGUCAGAGCUCGCGGGUUUGUUUAGAGCAAGGACAGCGAGAGGAAAGAGAAAAAAAGAGUGUGUGAGACGAACGGAGAUUUUCUGAUUUAAUUUGUGAGUUAGUAGUGCACAAACCAGUGUGUAGAUUGUGUCUUAUGAUUGUUUACACAACAACCGGUGAGAGUGACAAGCUGCAUAUUGCAAAACGGGAGGAAUUUCUGCACGAAGUUCAGUGACUGUUUAUUUUUGUGUUACUGCUAAUAUUAACGAUCAGAUAAAUUUAAGUAUAAGCUGGAGUCCGUUCAUUACAAGUGAAUGACAUUUUCUAGCCAAAGUUUGACUAGCUCAGUUGAACUGUUUGAGGGGUUUAUCUGCUGUUUUCGACCUGAAGACGGAAGGGACUCAGACUGAUCUUGGAUUUACAAGGAUUUCUCUCGUGAGUUUUACCGAAACUGUGAGGAGAAAAGAGAAACAAAUAGAGUUCGUGCUGAAAGGCUGAUCGGAUGUGGAGCCUGCUCAUUUGAUUGUUGGAGAAGGACUGGACAGAAACGUUAUCAUCAGGUAUUUUUUCCUUUUGUUUGCUCAUUGACGAGCGAAGCGGCCAUUACUUUUGGGCCACAACGAACACAAGCCUCGCAUCAGGCCUGCUACGGGGACUGCAGAUGAAAAAUAUCCACUGGUGAGACACGUCUCCAGAAGACUCCACGCUAUUGCCUCUGAUAAACCAGUCUUACAGAAAGCAGUGUGUGACCGGCCAGCCCCAGCACGGGAGAUCGACACGGGCACCCAGCACAUAAGGACACAGAGGAAAGACGGGCAGAUAACGGAGCACCAGUACACGUCACCACACACCAUGGCACUUCAAACCUAUUCCAAACAUAUUUUUAUUCAGACAUAUAGUAAUAGAUACUUAUAGUGUUAAUAAAUGGUUUAUUAACAUGUAUUUCUACUGUAAUUCAGGGUUUAUUCAGGUUGUUAUAAAACAUAUGUAGUUGUUAGUUAACUAUUUUUGUGAGCUCAUCUAAAGUGAGGACUAUUUAUGCCUUGUAAAGCUUUUACAAAUGAGAUUUAAAGGCUGUUAAUAUUUCAAUGUUCUGUAUCACUGUGUUGUGUUUGUUUCUGUUUUUUGUUUAGAAGAUAACUGAGCCGAGUUACUUACUCUAAUGUUAUUUUGACACGUGACAUUCUUUGUUCCCGAGGAACAUAUAAAAAGUUAUUUUGUAGAAUGUCUCAUCUCCACACAUUGAAAGUCAAUGGGGUCAAUAUUCACACUUAACUCUUUGAUUAGUUGAUCGUUUUCAUCUUGUGAUAUGCAAGAACCAAUGAGGUAAAGUUGUUGAUGCAUCAACAUAUCUGGGUUGGAUUCUGAAAACAGAAACAUUCAGAAUGCAAUAGAAAAUGAGUUUGAAACAACAUGACAGUCAACAAAUAAAAGCAUUUUAUUAAAUGCACUAUUCAUUAUGUCUA